rnacentral:rRNA from 1 species
AUUGAACGCUGGCGGCGUGCUUAACACAUGCAAGUCGAUCGGUAACAGGUGUAGCAAUACAUGCUGACGAGAGGCGGACGGGUGAGUAAUGCUUGGGAAUCUGCCUAUUAGUGGGGGACAACCCGGGGAAACUCGGGCUAAUACCGCAUACGCUCUACGGAGGAAAGCCGGGGACCGCAAGGCCUGGCGCUAUUAGAUGAGCCUAAGUCCGAUUAGCUAGUUGGUAGGGUAAGGCCUACCAAGGCGACGAUCGGUAGCUGGUCUGAGAGGACGACCAGCCACACUGGGACUGAGACACGGCCCAGACUCCUACGGGAGGCAGCAGUGGGGAAUAUUGGACAAUGGGCGCAAGCCUGAUCCAGCGAUGCCGCGUGUGUGAAGAAGGCCUGCGGGUUGUAAA